AAUUUUCGUUACAUUUGAUCUGUAAGAAUUCAAUUUUGAAUCAUUUUCAUUUCAAAUUGAUUCACACACAUAGCAGACGCCAACACAUCAAGCGUCAUCAAUAGCGUGGUCUAUGGUGCAAUGCUAUCGCUGGAGUAAGUUGUUUACCUUCAAUUCGGGUAGCGUCAUGAUUGGACUACCCUGAUGGCGUCAUGAUCGCUGCUGAUUGCCUUUCAAAUAGGUUUUCAGCAUUCUGCUUACACCUUUGGCAUAGAGUCACAUAUUUCACAAUCCAACAUCAAUUGGUAGCAACAGCAGCCCUUCUCUCCAUCAUCCAGAAGGGUCUGAGAUCAGUGUUGGAGAUGAUGGUUCGGAACAACCCAUGGAAAGCUUAUCACUCAUUGAUGCUGUGAUGCCUGAUGUUGUUGCAAGUCGUCAACAGCAAACACAGAACAAUCAGAAACCACAAGUGGUAAAGACAGAACCACCAAAUUCCAAUGGAGAUGAACCCAUGCAUUCCUAUCGCUGGGAAGAGGAAACAGGAGUAGAGAUACCUGCCAGCAAAUCAACUGUAACCGGUAAGA